rnacentral:rRNA from 1 species
GACGUAGGGCGCGAGCGUUGUCCGGAUUUAUUGGGCGUAAAGAGCUCGUAGGCGGCUUGUCGCGUCGUCCGUGAAAACCUGGGGCUCAACCCCGGGAGGCGGGUGGAUACUGUCGACCUCGAGUCCGGAAGAGGCGAGUGGAAUUCCUGGUGUAGCGGUGAAAUGCGCAGAUAUCAGGAGGAACACCAAUGGCGAAGGCAGCUCGCUGGGACGGUACUGACGCUGAGACGCGAAAGCGUGGGGAGCAAACAGG